rnacentral:rRNA from 1 species
AACGAACGCUGGCGGCAUGCCUAACACAUGCAAGUCGAACGAGACCUUCGGGUCUAGUGGCGCACGGGUGCGUACCGCGUGGGAACUUGCCCUUAGGUUCGGAAUAACUCCCCGAAAGGGGUGCUAAUACCGGAUAAUGUCUUCGGACCAAAGAUUUAUCGCCUUUGGAUGGGCCCGCGUUGGAUUAGCUAGUUGGUAGGGUACAAGCCUCCCAAGGCGAGGAUCCAUAGCUGGUCUGUGAGGAUGAUCAACCACACUGGGACUGAGACACGGCCCAGACUGCUACGGGAGGGAGCAGUGGAGAAUAUUAGACAAGGAGCGAAAGCCUGAUCCAGCAGUGCGGGGUGAGAGAGGAAGGCCUUAGGGUUGUAAAGCUCUUUUACCCGGGAUGAUAAUGACAGUACCGGGAGAAUAAGCACCGGCUAACUCCGUG